UACGAAGGGGGCUAGCGUUGCUCGGAAUCACUGGGCGUAAAGCGUGCGCAGGCGGUUUUGUAAGACAGGUGUGAAAUCCCCGGGCUUAACCUGGGAACUGCGCUUGUGACUGCAAGACUCGAGUACGGCAGAGGGGGGUGGAAUUCCACGUGUAGCAGUGAAAUGCGUAGAGAUGUGGAGGAACACCGAUGGCGAAGGCAGCCCCCUGGGUCGAUACUGACGCUCAUGCACGAAAGCGUGGGGAGCAAACAGG
rnacentral:rRNA from 1 species